rnacentral:rRNA from 1 species
GACGAUCAGAUACCGUCGUAGUCUUAACUAUAAAUGAUACAGACCAGAGAUAGGGUACUGUCCAUCUCGACUCCUCCUGAAUCUUGGAGAAAUCAGAGUCUUUGGGUUCUGGGGGGAGUAUGGUCGCAAGGCUGAAACUUAAAGGAAUUGACGGAAGGGCACACAAAGAGUGGAACCUGCGGCUUAAUUUGACUCAACACGGGAAAACUCACCAGGUCCAGAUACACGUAUGAAAGUCAAGCUGAAAGACUUUACUCAAUGAUGUAAGUGGUGGUGCAUGGUCGUUCGUAGUUCGUGGAUUGAUUUGUCUGGUCUAUUCCGAUAACGAGCGAGACCCCAACGUUCCUAAUAGGGGUGACAGCCCGGCUCGUCGCAAGAUGGGUUAGCAGUCACCUAGGAUUAGCUUCUUAGACGUAUCAGGGCCGAUAAGGUCCUUGAAAUGGGUUAAUAACAGGUCAGUCAUGCCCUUAGAUGUUCUGGGCCGCACGCGCGUUACAAUGGCAUGUA